GGGAAACCGUUGCCUGGUGAGAACUGGAGUAGCUGUAUUGGUGGAGAUCUUUCCUUUGGUGCCUUGAUUAAUGGAAGAAGUAGACAGUUCAGCAAUGUACCCAUCCAACAAACAAGUUUAGAUCAAGAUACUUUAAUGAACUGACAUGAAAAUUAAUUUUUAAAUGAGACUAAGCAGAAGCACAUUGAUAAUAGAGGAAACAAAUCGGGGAAGGGAAUGCAGGGACAUGACAAUCUUUAUUGACUUCUUAAAAAUAGGGAGUUAUUUGCACUCCUUGGAAUAUCAAAAAAAGAAGGAAAAAAGGGAUCUAGGGAAACUGAUGUUGCCUCAUUCUUGUUCUGAAUUCUGGAUAUCAG